rnacentral:rRNA from 1 species
UCUUCGGAGGUGACGCGUGUGGAACGAGCGGCGGACGGGUGAGUAACACGUGGGCAACCUGCCCUGAGGUCUGGGAUAACCCCGGGAAACCGGGGCUAAUACCGGAUAGGCCCAUCGAUCGCCUGAUCGAUGGGUAAAAGCGGGGAUUCAUCCUCGCGCCCCAGGAUGGGCCCGCGGCGCAUUAGCUGGUUGGUGAGGUAAUGGCUUACCAAGGCGACGAUGCGUAGCCGACCUGAGAGGGUGAUCGGCCACACUGGGACUGAGACACGGCCCAGACUCCUACGGGAGGCAGCAGUAGGGAAUCAUCCGCAAUGGGCGAAAGCCUGACGGUGCAACGCCGCGUGAGUGAAGAAGGUUUUCGGAUCGUAAAGCUCUGUUAUCCGAGAAGAACAAGUGCCGGUCGAAGAGGCCGGCGCCAUGACGGUACCGGAUCAGAAAGCCCCGGCUAACUACGUGCCAGCAGCCGCGGUAAUACGUAGGGGGCAAGCGUUGUCCGGAAUUAUUGGGCGUAAAGGGCGCGCAGGCGGUUUCCUAAGUCUGAUGUGAAAGGCCACGGCU